UUGCUUUGGCGGCACAUGUACUAAAACUGGAAAAAUACAGAGAAGAUUAGCAUAGUCCCUGCACAAAGAUGACGUGCAAAUUCAUGAAGCAUUCCAUAGAUUU